UGGGGAAUAUUGGACAAUGGGCGAAAGCCUGAUCCAGCCAUGCCGCGUGUGUGAAGAAGGUCUUCGGAUUGUAAAGCACUUUAAGUUGGGAGGAAGGGCAGUAAGCGAAUACCUUGCUGUUUUGACGUUACCGACAGAAUAAGCACCGGCUAACUCUGUGCCAGCAGCCGCGGUAAUACAGAGGGUGCAAGCGUUAAUCGGAAUUACUGGGCGUAAAGCGCGCGUAGGUGGUUCGUUAAGUUGAAUGUGAAAGCCCCGGGCUCAACCUGGGAACUGCAUCCAAAACUGGCUAGCUAGAGUAGGGCAGAGGGUGGUGGAAUUUCCUGUGUAGCGGUGAAAUGCGUAGAUAUAGGAAGGAACACCAGUGGCAAAGGCGACCACCUGGGCUCAUACUGACACUGAGGUGCGAAAGCGUGGGGAGCAAACAGG
rnacentral:rRNA from 1 species